AUUGAACGCUGGCGGCAGGCCUAACACAUGCAAGUCGAGCGGAGCGGCGGACGGGUGAGUAAUGCCUAGGAAUCUGCCUGGUAGUGGGGGAUAACGUCCGGAAACGGGCGCUAAUACCGCAUACUAGCAGAUGAGCCUAGGUCGGAUUAGCUAGUUGGUGGGGUAAAGGCCUACCAAGGCGACGAACCGUAACUGGUCUGAGAGUAUGGUCAGUCACCCUGGAACUGAGACACGGUCCCGGCCCCUACGGUAGGCAGCAGUGGGGAAUAUUUGACAAUGGGCGAAAGCCUUAUCCAUCCAUGUCGCGUGUGUGAAGAAGGUCUUCGGAUUGUAAAGCACUUUAAGUUGGGAGGCGUUUCCAACAGAAUAAGCACCGGCUAACUUCUUGCCAGCAGCCGCGGUAAUAC
rnacentral:rRNA from 1 species